GAGUUUGAUCCUGGCUCAGAACGAACGCUGGCGGCAGGCCUAACACAUGCAAGUCGAACGCCCACUUCGGUGGGAGUGGCAGACGGGUGAGGAACACGUGGGAACCUACCUAGAGGUACGGAAUAACUUCGGGAAACCGGAACUAAUACCGUAUACGCCCUCCGGGGGAAAGAUUUAUCGCCUUUAGAUGGGCCCGCGUCUGAUUAGCUUGUUGGUGAGGUAAUGGCUCACCAAGGCGACGAUCAGUAGCUGGUUUGAGAGGAUGAUCAGCCACACUGGGACUGAGACACGGCCCAGACUCCUACGGGAGGCAGCAGUGGGGAAUAUUGGACAAUGGGCGCAAGCCUGAUCCAGCCAUGCCGCGUGAGUGACGAAGGCCUUAGGGUUGUAAAACUCUUUCAGCAGGGAAGAUAAUGACGGUACCUGCAGAAGAAGCCCCGGCUAACUCCGUGCCAGCAGCCGCGGUAAUA
rnacentral:rRNA from 1 species